rnacentral:lncRNA from 1 species
AACAACAACAACAACAACAACAACAACAACAACAAAAAAGGACCACGAGAAGUGGGAGGUGAAAAUGAAAUAUUUUAUUCGUCUGUUUCGCGACAGGUUUAACAAGUAGCAAUUAAAAAGAAAGAGGAAGGAAGAGGAGAAAAUUACAGAAAAAAAAGUUUUUAUUCGAUUAUCCAUGAUUGAGAAAGGGUGGUACGUAAAGCAAGAAGUGGCCGGAAGAAGCCAAUUACGGCGGCGGUCGCGGGCGGCGGACAUCAUAUAUAUAUGCAUGGUAGAUAUAUAGAUCAGCUGGCUCAGGCAAGCGUAUAUAUCGAUCGAUCGUGCUCCGGUUCACGGCUUCUGCAGUCGAGGAUCAGGAUGGUUUCCGAUACGAGGGGGCUGAAAUGGCGUUUUGGAUGGCGGCUUUGGAGGAUCGGGCCCUUUCACGGGAGACGGGCAUUUUAUUUCUCGUUCCCGAACGUUGCAGUUGUUGGAAUGUGGGGGCCGAGCAACUAGGGAGCGAGAAAAGACGGGAAGCAGAUGAAGCAAAUUCAAAUGAAUGGUGGUGAGAUCGAACCUCCGUCCACACACGGUUGAAUUCAAUAUCUUUGAACCUCUCAGAAGUUUUCACAUUACUCCUUUUUCAAUUUUUCUACAUAAAUAUAUAUGCCNUUUUUUUUUUUUUUGAGAGAGAAAGAUAGAUAGCACGUUAUCUGUUUCGUUUAUUUUAUUUAAAAAUAAACUUAGCUAAACAUGUAAAUCAAUUAGGAUUCGAACUUGAGAUCUCGGAUACCAACCACCAAGCCCUUUGCCACUUGCUCUAGGGACGGUCAGUCGUCCACACACAGUUGAAUUCAAUUUCUUUGAACCUCUCAAAAGUUUCACAUUACUCCUUUUUCAUUUUUUCCACAUAAAUAUAUAUGCCGGGGAAUGUGUGAAUUUUCAAUUUUUGACAAUUAUAUUCCGUAAACUUUAUCAAAUAAUUCAUUUUGGCAUUUUUUUAACUGAAGUUGCUUAUUAAACAGUUAUUUUAUCGUAUGUCUUGCAUCUAAUCUUGUAAAAUAAAACCACAUGCCUAAUUAUUAAAUUUGGAAAACAGAAAAAAAAUAUAUUUUGUACAUAGCAUACGGUCAAAACGGCUCUAUAAGUGCUAAUUUUGGUUGACAAGAGACGCCCAUUAGUAGUUUCAAAUAUUUAUCAAAAUUUUGCUUUCCAUUCUGUCCUUAUCCAAAAAAAAAAAAAAAAAAAAAAAAAAAAAAAAAAAAGAACUUUUGUCAUAUAGUACCAAAUUUAACUGAUGAAACAAAUGAUCUGAAGGAUCGACUGUCUCUAGAGCAAGUGGCAAAGGAUUUGGUGGUUGGUAUCUGAGACCAAUCCUAAUUGAUUCAUAUUUCUGGCUAAGUUUAUUUUUAAAUGAAAUAAACGAAGCGAGUAGCAUGCUAUCUAUUUCCCAAAAAAAUAAAUAAAUAAGCAAAUGAUCUGAAGGCCGGAUUAACCUUUUUCUAAAUUCUGUAUGCAUUAACGACAUGAAGUAGGAAUUACCAUUAUUUAGCAAAACAAGUAUUCAAAAUUAAUUGUUGGAACAAAUUAAGGUUAUUUUAACUUACUAACUAUUAGUUUCUUGCUAUAAAUCAUUCCAAUGAUUUAAUAUCUGUACUUAUCUUUUCAUUAAUAAACUUACGUUCAAAUGAUAGAGCAAUCUGCUUUAUAACAUCGAUCAAAUGAUGAAACUAAACUUACCUACGUUACCAGGGAACGCCGCAAGGCCUGGAAGUAAAAGACAGAGAAUGAUAGCGAUCGGAAUAACAACGGAGAAGAUGCUUCUUCUCCGAUGACGGUCCAUCAGCUUCAUAGCAAUAUUGUUCAGUACCGCUGUUUCUUGUGCUGGUGAUUUGAUUUGCUUGGC